ACGCUCGACACCUACUGGAGGCAGCAGUGGGGAAUAUUGCACAAUGGGGGAAACCCUGAUGCAGCGACGCCGCGUGGAGGAAGAAGGUCUUCGGAUUGUAAACUCCUGUUGUUGGGGAAAAAGAGGAUGGUACCCAACAAGGAAGUGACGGCUAACUACGUGCANNCGCCGGAGUAUNGNGGCGGNGNGAGAG
rnacentral:rRNA from 1 species